UCCUACGGGAGGCAGCAGUGGGGAAUAUUGCACAAUGGGGGAAACCCUGAUGCAGCGACGCCGCGUGAGUGAAGAAGUAUCUCGGUACGUAAAGCUCUAUCAGCAGAGAAGAAAAAAAGUCUUUGGCUUUGGACGGUACCUGAUUAAGAAGCCCCGGCUAACUACGUGCCAGCAGCCGCGGUAAUACGUAGGGGGCAAGCGUUAUCCGGAUUUACUGGGUGUAAAGGGAGCGUAGACGGCAGCGCAAGUCUGAAGUGAAAUGCCGGGGCUCAACCCCGGAACUGCUUUGGAAACUGUGCAGCUAG
rnacentral:rRNA from 1 species